rnacentral:lncRNA from 1 species
GGACCUUUGAAGAAUCCUCUCAACUUAUGGAUACUAAUCCAUCAGCUGCAAAUAGCCACACAAAUGUUCACCACAUGCAUAUACAGGACUAUGAAGCUUUGUACGAUAUGGAGUUGUAUUAGGGAGAUCAUAUAACCAAAUCCAUAGUUGCCCGCAGAUCACAGUGACUCCAUGGUGAACCUUGUGUCUUGUUGUCUUUUGUUUUUUGUUUUUUGGGUUUAUUUGCCUGGGAUCUGAGAUCUGACCAGCACGUUCAUAUUGUUAGUUUCCAGAACUCAUAAAUCCCUAAGAUUUGUUUGGCAAACUAGAUGUUGUCAGAAUACUUAGGGUGAGAUACAAUAACAAUUUAAAUGAUAAACAAAAACAAACAGAAAAGAAUUCAUCCUAACUUACCCAGGACCAAUUUCUUGCUGUUUUUUUCCCCAGCUAUUUUUAAAUAAUCAAAUCACUGUAGUAGCUAUGGCAUUUUAGAGAUUGCAAGGUCUGUGAGUCAUAUCCUUAUUUACAGGAAUGAUGGGAGAAAGUCAGCUUGUUCAGCAUUUACUCCAUUUAUGAGAAAUGUACAGGCAAAUAAGAAGCUGGGGAAACGCUGUUUCGUGUAUCAUUUCACCGUGUCCUACAAUCUCUUUCUCUUUCCCUUUUCAGGACUCAGACCUGGGAGAACAGCCACUGCCCAGACACGUUCAGCGACAGAUAAAACAGUAUAACAUUUUGCAAAGGCAAAUUCCUCCUCUUCUGCUGUAGAAAAACUUGGUUUCUUCUUCAUACACACUGAGUCCUUCUGCUCAUAAUGCUGGUCCUAAACACCUUAAUCCAAAAGCAGCCAAUAAAAAGUUUUUAAAAGUCCAACUCCUUAGGGAAAAACUUUGUUUUCCAGUUUGUGUGACUCAGGUCAUCAGCUCACGGUCAUUGUCAGAGCCCCAGUCAUCUACGUGUGUCAGCACCGCCCCUUUUAUCUCUCUGUCUUCAGUACUGCCUGAGAAGUACACACAAAGGACUGAACAGAGACAUUUUCAAAGUUUCAGAGAAAAAUGAAAGGAUAUGAUUUUAACACUGGAACCGAAUACUCUCUUAAGCAUAAAUUUUUCUUCUAGGGAGCAUUUGUUUGUAAUUAUGAGAAAUUAAGGAAUA